rnacentral:rRNA from 1 species
UACGUAGGGGGCUAGCGUUGUCCGGAAUUAUUGGGCGUAAAGAGCGUGUAGGCGGUCCGGUAAGUCAGCUGUAAAAGUCAAAGGCUCAACCUUUGAAUGUCAGUGGAUACUGCCGGGCUAGAGUCCGGAAGAGGCGAGUGGAACUCCUGGUGUAGCGGUGGAAUGCGCAGAUAUCAGGAAGAACACCAACGGCGAAGGCAGCUCGCUAGGACGGUACUGACGCUGAGACGCGAAAGCGUGGGGAGCGAACAGG